CAAUAUCCCGCUUUAUACAAUAUUGUGCGUCGCAAGGGUGAUACUAUCGCCACGGUAAUGGAAUCGUUUCCGCCAAAUGUGACGUUCAAAAGGGAUUUAAUUGGACCCAGACUCCAAUCGUGGAACAUCCUACUCCAGCGGUUGUCCAUGCUGCAUUUGUCACAUGGGUCUGAUGUAUUCCGAUGGAACCUACAUGGGAACGGACAGUUCUUAGUGGAGUCUAUGUAUAGAGCAUUAAUCCAGUCUGAUGUGCCAAUUGAUAAUAACAAGAAGAUAUGGAAGAUGAAGAUACCGCUUAAGAAUAAAAUCUUUGCAUGGUAUCUUCGUCGCGGAGUCAUUCUUACUAAAGAUAACCUUAUUAAGAGGAAUUGGCAUGGAAGUCCGCAAUGUGCCUUUUGUCACUAUGAUGAGACAAUAAAGCACUGA
rnacentral:rRNA from 1 species